rnacentral:lncRNA from 1 species
UUUUUUUUUUUUUUUCCUAAAGGGGUCUUAAAGAGUUUCACUUUGUCAAAGCCCCAAGAGGAGUAAGGCACAGAGGCUGGGCUUAAGGUUGGUGUGUAUAAAUACAAAUCUUGGACUCUUCUUACUAAUUUGCAGUCAUCUGAUUCAUCAAAUGUAUGAAUCUCCAGAAUCUAUAGAGUGGGCCAGUGUUCCCUCAUCAGAGCAGCUGGAGUAAAAUGGCAUUUUAAGAAAACUUGAAACUGAAAGUAUUUACCUCCUCAGAAAAAAAAGUUGACAUUUAUUGAGUGCUGGCUCAGUGCCAGGCACUUUGCCAAAGGCUUUCCAUGGAUUAUAUUGUAUCACCCUUAUGAGGUAGGUGCCAUGAUCAUCUUUAAUUUACAGAUGAGGAAACAGAGGCUUAGACAGAUGAAAUAACUUGGUCUAGGCACAGGGUGAUAGAUUUUGGGUUUGACAAUCUGACCCCACAGACCCUAAUCAUAUCAUCCUUUGUUUAAUCUUUGGCACAAUCUCCUACCAAUUCUCCUUCUGGAGAAACCCUAUGUUUAUUGACAAUAUUUAAUGAUUUACACUAAGUGCCCUCCAUGCCCUCAUUUACUCCUCACAAGCACUCUAUAAGGCAGACAUCCUACCCCAUUUUAUGGAGGAGAAACCUGUGGCUAAAAGAGGUUGAUGGUCCAAGACUGAAGAACCAGCUCAAGGCAGAAUCAUCUUACACCAUAGAAAUAUCUGGGGAAAUUUCAUUCUUCCUUCCACAACUUUGAAAUUUUCUAAAAGUAAGUAAUCAGGAGAAAGGUACAAAGAAGGAAAGUGGAGGCCACAGAGCCAAGUAGCCAUGUGUAGGGCCCUAUCACAACGCUAUCCCAAAUCAGGAAGGGUAGAGUUUGCAAAAGGCUGGAUUCGUCUGGGAAGGCUCUAUACAGGGAAGAAAACUCCAGGCAGGCCUUGAAGACUGGGGAAAAUCUGGCUGGGUCAGGGAUUCCAGGCAGCAGAAUAGCAUAUUUAACAUUCAAGUGGGGUCUAGAAACAGAUUCAAGUAGCAGAGGGGAGCCCUGGUAAAAGGGCACGUGGUGGAAGGAAGACCACUUAGGAGGGUUAAGGCUUACAUCCAGCACUGUCUUCAAGCUUCAUACCCACAGAUCUCUUUGUCCUCCUCUAGCAUGUAGCCCAUCAAGAGCCUGAGUGACAAUGGAAAAAGUCACAGAGAGAAAAUAAAUGAAUAACGAAGAGAUACCAUAUGUAUCUCAUGUGGGGCCUUCUGGAAGGGAGGGAGAGGCUGGGCACUCAGGGAGAGAAGAGCUUUGAUUUGCCCACAGUACAAGGCAGUCUCAGCUCUUCCUCUGCUUGUCUCACCCCCUCUUUCUCCUUCCCUCCCCAGUAUUCUGCUUGCAGCAGCAAAUGUAAGAAUGCUUAGAUGGCUUGGCAAAACACUCCCUGAGAUUUAUUUCUGUUGGACAAUCUUGCAUUCCUUUUUUUCCCCCCUAGCUGACAUCUCUGUCAACAGCAGGCUCCUCUGUGAGGCUGUGAAUCUGGAGAUCACAUACCCGAUGCAGACAUUGCUGCUUAAAAACCAGACCAAGGACUUCUCUACUAGAUGCCCAUGAGCCAGUGAGACUAGACACAGCACAGAGGACAGGAAACAAACAGCCUUCUGAAAAGACCUCAGCCUUUUCUUCCCCUGUCAGGAGUACACAGAGGAGGUGCUGGUGUCAGCCCAGGAGAGGAAUAACAAUUUAUUGGUCACUAAUUCAGAGCCAAUAAUGGCAUCCUGAUAAAGACCAUCCCAAUUUUAUAACACGUGGACAGGACUGCAAGGGAACAUGGGAAACUGAACAUAAUUGACAGAGACAAGAUUCCAGAGUAGAAGGACUCAAGAUCACAAAAACACCAAAGUUACAACUAACCGUUGAACAACCAUCAACAAAAUAAACUGGAAGCUACCAAAAAAAGAUAUCCUAUAUCCAAAGACAAAGAAGUCACAUCAAGAUGGUAGGAGGGGUGCUUUCAUGAUAUGAGCAAUCCCAUAACUGCCCGAGGGGUGACCCACAGACUGGAAAAUAGCUAAAUUGCAGAGGCUCUCCCACAGGAGUGAGAGUUUAGAGCUCCACUUCGGGUUCCCACAGCUGGGGUCUGGCACUGGGAGGAGGAGCCCCCAAAGCAUUUGGCAUUGAAUGCCAGUGAGGCUUAAGUGCAAGAAAUCCACAGUACUCAGAGAGAAAGAGACUUCACUCUAGGAGGGAACACAGGAUUUCAUGUGCACUGGAUCACAGGGCAAAGCGGGGACUCCAUAAGAAUCUGGAUCAAGUCCACUGGGAGGUCUUGGAGGGUCUCCUGAGAGAGUGGGGGAGGCCGUGGCUCACUGUGGGGGCAGAACAUUGGACACAGAGGUCCCGGGAAUAAUCAUCAGUGUGACCUCCCCUGAGGCUGCAAUUUUAGAAAAAUUUAGCCCCACCCAUCAGGGCUGAGAAGCCCCAGGCCAGACAACAAACAGGGUGGGAACACAGCUCCACACAUCAGCAAAUAGGCUGCCCCUAAUCACACCCAGAGGCAAAGCCCCACUCACCAGAGGGAUAAGAAUCAGUUCCACCUACUAGUGGGCAGGCACCAGUCCCUCCCAUCAGGAAGCCUAUAACAAGCCCCUGUUUCAAUAAACUUCACCCACAAAGAGGCAGACACCAGAAGAAAGAGAGGCUACAACCCUCUAGCCUGCAGAAAGGAGACCACACAAAAAGCUCUACAAAAUGAAAAGUCAAAGAAACAUGAGUCAGAUGAAGGAACAAGACAAAUCCCUAGAAGAACAUCUAAGUGAAGUAGAGAUAGGAAACCUGUCUGAAAAAGACUUUAGAGUAAUGCUAGUAAGGAUGAUCCAAGAUUUUAGGAAAAAAAUAGAGGCAAAGAUUGAUGAAUUAGAAGAAACAUUUAACAAAGGAAUAGAAGAUUUAAAGAUUCAACAAGAAGAGAUGGUCAACACAAUAGCUGAAAUAAAAAAUUCGCUAGAAGGAAACAAUAGCAUAAUACAGGAGGCAGAAGAACAAAAAAGCUAGGUGGAAGACAGACUGGUGGAAAUCACUGAUGUGGAACAGAAUAAAGAAGAAAGAAUGAGGAGUUCCCAUUGCGGCACAGUGGUUAACGAAUCCGACUAGGAACCAUGAGGUUGCGGGUUCGGUCCCUGCCCUUGCUCAGUGGGUUAACGAUCCAGCAUUGCCGUGAGCUGUGGUGUAGGUUGCAGACACAGCUCGGAUCCCACAUUGCUGUGGCUCUGGUGUAGGCCGGGGGCUACAGCUCCAUUUGGACCCCUAGCCACGGGAGCAGCCCAAAGAAAUAGCAAAAAGACAAAAAGACAAAAAAAAAAAAAAAAAAAGAAUGAAAAGAAUUGAGGACAGUAUAAAAGAACUCUGGGACAACUUUAAAUGCACCAACAUUUGCAUUAUAGGGCUACCAGAAGGAGAAGAGAUAGAUAAAGGUCCAGAGAAAAUUUUUGAAGAAAUAAUAGCUGAAAACUUCGCUAACAUGGGAAAGGAAUCACUAACUCAAAUCCAGGAAGCACAACGAAUACCAUAUAGAAUAAACCCAAGGAGGAUGCACAAAGACAUAUAUUAACCAAACUGACCAACAUUAAAGUCAAAGAGCAAAUACUGGAAGCAGCUAGGGAAAAGCAAAAAAUAACAUACAAGGGAACCCUGAUAAGGUUAGCAGCUGAUUUUUCAGCAGAAACUCUGCAGGCCAGUAAGGAGUGGCAUGAGGUACUUAAAGGGAUGAAAGGAAAAAACCUACAAUAAAGAAUACUCUACCCAGCAAGGCUUUCUUUCAGAUUUGAAGGAGAAAUCAAAACCUUUACAGACAUGCAAAGGCUAAGAGAAUUCAGCUCCACCAAACCAGCUUUACAACAAAUACUAAAAGAACUUCUCUAGGCAGAAAGAAAGGCCACAACUAGAAAGGAGAAAAUUACAAAUGAGGAGGCUCACCAGUAAAGGCAAACAUCAGUAAAGGUAGGAAAAAUCAUCCACACACAAAUAUGCCACUGAAAGCAGCUAUUGUGAGGAGGAGGGUGCAAAUGCAGGAUCCUGGAAAUGCAUUUGCAAUCAAGAGACCAGCAACUUAAAGCAAUCUUGUGUGUAUAUAUACACUCCUAUAUCAAAAUCUGAGGGUUACCACAAACCAAAACCUCAUGGUUACCACAAACCAAAUUUCAAACACAACACUAAAGAGUCAUCAAACCACAAGAGGAGAGAACAAAAGGGAAGAAAAAAGGCCAAGAGAUAAAGGGCUAGAGAAAAUCGACAAAAAAAAUCCAAAACAAUUAACAAAAAGACAAUAAGAACAUACAUAGCAAUAAUUACCUUAAAUUUAAAUGGACUAAAUGCUCCAACCAAAAGACUCGCUGAAUGGAUACAAAAACAAGACCCAUAUAUAUGCUGCAUAAAGAAGAUGCGAUACACACACAUGCACGUGCGUGCGCACAUGCACACACACACACACACACACACACACACACUGGAAUAUUACUCAGCCACAAAAAAGGAAUAAAAUAAUGCCCAUUUGUAGCAACAUGGAUGGGACCUAGAGAUACUAAGUGAAUUUGGACAGUGAAAAACAAACAUGAUAUGUUAUCACUUAUAUGUGGAAUCUGAAAAAAAGAUACAGGAGUUCCUGUCAUGUUGCAGCAGAAACGAAUCCGACUAGGAACCAUGAGGUUGCGGGUUCAAUCCCUGGCCUUGCUCAGUGGGUUAAGGAUCCAGUGUUGCUGUGAGCUGUGAUGUAGGUCACAGACAUGGCUCGGAUCUGGUGUGACUGUGGCCAGCAGCAGUAUUUCUGAUUAGACCCCUAGCCUGGGAACUUCCCUAUGCUGUGGAUGUGGCCCUGGAAAAAAAAAAAAAAGAUGCAAAUGAACUUGUUGCAGAACAGAAACACUCAUAGACUUUGUAAACAAACUUAUGGUUACCAAAGGAGACAGGUGGGGUGGGAGUGGGGGUGAACUGGGGAUUUGAGAUUGGCACAGGGAACUCUACCCAAUCAAAUUCUGUGAUAAUUUAUAUGGGAAAAGAAUCUGAAAAAGAAUGGGUGUGUGUAUAUGUGUAACUGAAUCACUUUGUUGUAUAGCAGAAAUUAUCACAACUUAUAAAUCAAUUAUACUUCAAUAAUUUUUUUUUAAUGGGAAAAAAAAAAACAGACCAAGAAAGUGGACUCCUGAGAUCAGGGUGACCAGUAACCCAAUCUGGCCCAGGACCUGGGAGUCAGUGAGACCUCAGAGCUUGGAGCACGGGCCAUCUGGGAUGGGGGAUGGGGCAGCAAUCCUGUGAAUAUAGUCAGUUCAAGGCAAGAAUGUGUUAGCUGUAGAUGGUUCCAGCAGUUAAAAAAACUAGACCUAUUUGGAUGAAACCCAACCGUGGCCUUGAAUUAUUUUGAAACUCAAGUGUUGAUAAGCCACUAAGGAUAGUAGGGUACUAAGCCAUACAUGUGAAAAAUGUUUUGUCAAGUGUGAAUUUCUAUAUCCAUGUAAAGGAUUAUAAUUAUUACUUUUUGUCAAAGGAAGAAAACUAAGUUUUGGUCUAUUUUUGGAAAUUAGGUACCAGUAAAGGCAAAUAAACUUAGAAGCAUUGGAUUUCAGAGCUGGGAAGAAUGUCAUUCAUUCUAUCAACAAGCAUUUGGGGUUACAUCUGAGAAUCAGGUCUGCUGAGGAGCUGGAAAGGAGCCAGACUCAGGCUCCCAAGGUCCCUAUGGAGAGUUAUAAAUACCCUAAGGGUGAUAAGAGCACAGGAUUAGUGCAGGGUGGGGGGAUCUCAAUACAUCUGGGUAUCAGGAAAGGUUUUCAUACAUGCAAACUAUUACAUUUAGAAUUGAUAUGCCAUGAGACCCUGCUGCAUAGCCCGGGGAACUAUAUCCAAUCUCUUGGGAUAGAAUAUGAUGCAAGAUGUAUGAAAAAAAGAAUGCAUAUAUAUAUAUAUGUGCAUGUAUGACUGGGUCACUUUGCUGCACAGCAGAUACUGGCACAACAUUGUAAAUCAACUACACUUUAAAUAAAAAAAGAAAGAAGAGUUCCUGUCAUGGUUCAGCAGAAACGAAUCUGACUAGCAUCCAUGAGGAUGCAGGUUUGAUUCCUAGCCUCACUCACUCAAUGGGUUAAGGAUCUGGCAUCACUGUGAGCUGUGGUGUAGGCUGGCAGCUGCAGCUCCAAUUCAACCCCUAG